AUGCAGCAUCUAAGUAAGCUGAGGGGUGGGAAAGACAGUGUGUGCCUAUUUCUGUCUGUAAACAGGCCCAGUGUGGGCUGCUGCUCUGGUCAGCGAGGGGUGGAAGGCUGCAGGAGGACUUGGCACAAAAUAAGCUCCCCCUCCCCAACAAAUGUGUCUUUGCCUCUAGUUUUGCAAAAGAGAAGACUCCAAAGCCCCCGGAUCUUCAUGGCACUGCCAAGUAUGACCCCCUGUUCCCUGUUCAAAAUCAAUACACCCCCUCAUGCCCUCCCUCCCCUUUCAAAAGGACAAGCCAGGGAGAGAGAGUUGGAGGGAGUCGGAGGAAGGUUAAGCCUGGAAAAGCCAAGCCUCCUGGCAGGGACCCGUUUCCAGUUUGCUCAGAUAGUGCAAGUGGGGAGCCUCCUGGUCCCCGUCAGCAGUUUCUUAGGGAGGGCAGUGGACUUGGUGGACACAGACGUCCAUGCCCAGAGGUUUCUUGGCUUUAGUCCAAGCAGCUGGCAGGUUCAUCCUUCUCCCCACAAACACCACUUCCGGCCCUCCAGCCCCUGCUUGGGCUCUUCCUGCCUAGACGUCCCUGCCCAAGCCCGCCCUCCUCCCGCAGAGCUGGCUCCCUCCCUUCACAGCCCUUUUUUUCGCUCUCUCAGUCUCCAUAUCUAUUUCUUCUCCCUCCUUCUCCUCCUCCCCUGCUUCUCUCCUCCUUGCCAUCCCUCACCAGUCCCAGAAUGGAUUUCCCUCCCUUUCUCCCUCUCCGACAGUAUCUCCCCCCGCCUUAGCUCUCACCCCUGCACCUCUUUCUUUGUAUUCUUCUCGCCCUCUCCCGGCCUCGCCAGCAUCUCUCCUCCCCCGGCUGGAGAGAGAGGGGACUCUCUCCUUGCGGCUCCCCCACCUUGGCUCUCUGGGUUGGAGCAGGCUCUCCGGAAGGGGAGGGGGCUCGGCUGGUCUGGGCGAGGUGGGAGUGGAGGUAUCCUGCCAUGGAUGCUGUGCCUGGGAGGCAGCCUGAGCCCCAGCCCACAUGGUGAGUACCUGCCCCCUCCCUUCCGCCCGUCCGCCCAUCCCCACCCUCGCCUUUUCCCUGCGGAG
rnacentral:lncRNA from 1 species